AGAUUCAAAAUCUUUCCAACGCUCAAUGGAAUGAGGUCCAUGAAUUGAAGAGGAAGGCAAACGAAGCUUUGAAUAACUCCAAAUCAGCCAACAGCAGAAUGGACGAGGUCUUGACGCAACAAGCGGCUACUGAACAGGAAAUAACAGUCGUUGAUAACACAAUCAAUGAUAUGAAAACACUCGCUGAUGUCGCAGCAGCGAAUGCCACGUUAGCUUACAAUGUUGCUCGUGAUACCUUCAAUACCGCCGAGCGGCUACUCGACGAGGCAGCAAUCCCUCUAGAUGAAGUUAAAGCUAAUGAAACAAAAG